CACCUCKAGCAUAACAAGUAUUAGAGGCACUGCCUGCCCAGUGACAAUCAAAGUUCAACGGCCGCGGUAUCCUGACCGUGCAAAGGUAGCAUAAUCACUUGUUCUUUAAAUAAGGACUGGUAUGAACGGCUUAACGAGAGUUUAACUGUCUCUUACCUACAGUCCGUGAAAUUGACAUUCCCGUGAAGAGGCGGGGAUAAUAUAAUAAGACGAGAAGACCCUACGGAGCUUUAAUUUAUUAAUUCAUUUUUUACACACCAAAUCAAUGAGAAAUAAAAAAUAAAUCAUGAGUUAAUAAUUUUGGUUGGGGUGACCUCGGAGUAAAACUAAACCUCCGAAUGAUAUUAACCUAGACCCACAGGUCAAAGUUCCUAUCAUAAAUUGACCCAGAAUAAUCUGAUCAACGAACCAAGUUACCCUAGGGAUAACAGCGCAAUCCUAUUUCAGAGUUCAUAUCGACAAUAGGGUUUACGACCUCGAUGUUGGAUCAGGACCCCCAAAUGGUGCAACCGCUAUUAAAGGUUCGUUUGUUCAACGAUUAAAGUCCU
rnacentral:rRNA from 1 species